rnacentral:rRNA from 1 species
GAAAGCGUGGGGAGCAAACAGGAUUAGAUACCCUGGUAGUCCACGCCCUAAACGAUGAAUGUUAGUCGUUGGAGAGCUAGUCUCUUCAGUGAUGCAGCUAACGCAUUAAACAUUCCGCCUGGGGAGUACGGUCGCAAGAUUAAAACUCAAAGGAAUAGACGGGGACCCGCACAAGUGGUGGAGCAUGUGGUUUAAUUCGAAGAUACGCGAAGAACCUUACCUGGGCUUGACAUCCUUGGAACCUUGUAGAGAUACGAGGGUGCCUACUUUUAGUAGGAGCCGAGUGACAGGUGCUGCACGGCUGUCGUCAGCUCGUGUCGUGAGAUGUUGGGUUAAGUCCCGCAACGAGCGCAACCCUCGUCGUUAGUUGCUAACAGUUCGGCUGAGCACUCUAACGAGACUGCCUUCGUAAGGAGGAGGAAGGUGAGGACGACGUCAAGUCAUCAUGGCCCUUAUGGCUAGGGCUACACACGUGCUACAAUGGGGCGUACAGAGUGUUGCGAUACCGCGAGGUGGAGCUAAUCACUUAAAGCGUCUCUCAGUUCGGAUAGCAGUCUGCAACUCGACUGCUUGAAGCUGGAAUCACUAGUAAUCGUAGAUCAGCUAUGCUACGGUGAAUACGUUCCCGGGUCUUGUACUCACCGCCCGUCACACCAUGGGAGUUGAUUUCACCCGAAGCGGGGAAGCUAAACUGGCUACCCUCCACGGUGGAAUUAGCGACUGGGGUGAAGUCGUAACAAGGUAACCGUAGGAGAACCUGCGGUUG